rnacentral:rRNA from 1 species
AGGGUUGUAAAGCUCUUUCGCCCGCGAAGAUAAUGACUGUAGCGGGAGAAGAAGCCCCGGCUAACUUCGUGCCAGCAGCCGCGGUAAUACGAAGGGGGCUAGCGUUGUUCGGAAUCACUGGGCGUAAAGCGUACGUAGGCGGGCAAUUAAGUCAGGGGUGAAAGCCUUGAGCUCAACUCAAGAACUGCCUUUGAUACUGGUUGCCUGGAGUCCGGGAGAGGUGAGUGGAACUGCUANUGUAGAGGUGAAAUUCGUAGAUAUUAGCANGAACACCAGUGGCGAAGGCGGCUCACUGGCCCGGUACUGACGCUGAGGUACGAAAGCGUGGGGAGCAAACAGGAUUAGAUACCCUGGUAGUCCACGCCGUAAACGAUGGAAGCCAGCCGUUGGCCAGCAUGCUGGUCGGUGGCGCAGCUAACGCAUUAAGCUUCCCGCCUGGGGAGUACGGUCNCNAGAUUAAAACUCNAAGGAAUUGACGGGGGCCCGCACAAGC